GGAGGUCUCAGCAGCCUCUGUACGAUCUGCGGGGGAGGCUGGGGUUCCUUGGUUGGUUCUUCGAAACGGAGCCAGGAAGGAUGUGAGCGCGUGGGGCCGUCCUUCGCGCCUUUGUACACGCCGUGACCUCCCUCUAAUGGAGGUGUCCAGCGGGGCACGCUGGCGCCGCACUCUUGGGUCCUCUCUGCCCGAAUCCCCGUAAACGGCGCCCUGAGCCUCGUAUGCAUCUUAUGCUAGGGAGUCUGAGGCUUGCUCGCGGUGCGAUCCUUAGCCCGAGGUCACACUCCUCGGCUCCCCAACCCCAGGGCAGGCCUCAGGUGUGGGGUCGGCUGAGCUUGGACUCUCCCUGGGCGCCCGCCUACCCCGCGCUGCUGCGCCCGCUGGGCUCCGUGGCGGCGACGGCUCUGGUGGACACGGCUCCGAAACCUGGAGAGUUCCGCAGGACACGCCUCAGAUACCUGGCGAGUUCCCCAACCUCUCACUCUCUCGGACUCCCAAGCCCCAGCUUCCUAACAUACAGGAUGAAGGUGUCCUCGGACUCUGCUCCUUCCGCUCUCCCUUCCCUUGUUGGGAUCAUUUUCGGCCUACAGUCAAGAAUCCAGGCUAGAACUUUUAUGGGAUGACUGCAGGUUUUGGUAACCAAGGGGAUGUGAUGUCUAAAGCGUUGCUGCGGCAGGAACCAGGAUAUGCAAGUACUUGGAGGUUGUUUGUGUGGUGUGGAAGAUGGAGAAACAUCUUCUGGGCACAAUGUUUCUAUAGAAAAAGUUUCUUAGGAGUUUCCACCUAGAAGGCCUACCCCAGAGAGAUGUGUGGCCCCAUCUUGAAAGAUGGUUUGCACCUGGCUGAGCAUCUGGGGACACGCCCUUGUGGAGAAACCGCUCCCAGGUGAGGCAUGUGGGAAAUAGUUCUCGUUCAGCACACCCAAAGCAGCAGAGUGGAGAGAACUCUUCGGCAGGAAUGAAGGCAGGGCCUUGUUUAUGAAGAGCUGCAGAGCCUACAUGUCAGAGAAACCCUCCACAUGUAGGGAUACUGGGAAGGAUUUCUCGGCCAGCUAAGGCAUUUUCCAGCAAGAGGCCCCUCACACCAGGAGCAAGCCACACAGGGGCUCUGCAUGUGGGGAGCCUUUCACACUAGACAAAGGAAUCACAAGUGUAGCACAUGUGGGAAAGCCUUCAGCCACAAAGACGCUCUUGUUCAGCACCAGAGAAUCCACACUACAGAAAGGCCUUACAAGUGCCCUGAAUGUGGAAAAUCCUAUGGAAGCUUCCACCUUGUUCAGCACCAGAGAAAGCACACUGGAGCAAAGCCCCAUGAGUACAGCGAUGUGGGAAAGCCUUCAGCUGCAAAGACCCCCUUGUUCAGCACCAGAGGAUCCACAGUGCAGAAGGGCCUCGUGUGUGCUAUUAAUGUGUGAAAGUCUUUAGCUAAAGCUGCAUUCUUAUUGCACACUAGAAACUGGUUCACUGGUGAUAGGUGUUACGUGGAUGACAAAUAUGGGAAAUUCAUUAGCCAAAGCUCCUGCUGCAUUCAGCACUGCAGAAUUCACACGGGAGAGGCCUCAGGAGUGCAGCAACUGCGGGAAAGCCUUCACCAGGAGCUUUCUUGUUCUGCACCAGAACAAAAAGGCUUUAUCAGUGUAGCCAGUGUUGGAGUGCUUUCAGCUGCAUCUGUAAGUUCGUGCACCAGAACGUUCAGAUUAGAGAAAAGCCAUAUAAAGGCAUGAUGUCAUUCAGCACCAGAAAGUUCACACUGGAGAAAGUUCUUAGGAGUGCAGUGGAUAUGCUGUCUCCCUGUUCAACAUAGCUCAUACCAGAGGGCAGCUCUGAGAUUACCCUUUGUGAAGGCAUCAUCUGCCAGAAGUUAGAGCAUCAUACAUCUGAACCUCCAUGCUGGAGAGAUGCCUGAUGGGUGCCAGGUAUGUGGUAAGCUUUCAGAAGCUACAAUUGCAGUUUCUCACCUGCCCAGAGCCCUUCCUAGAGUUAGGUCAUUGCCAGUGCCUCUGUUAGAAGCCACCUCACCUCUGCCAGCUUGUUGGGCCCCACAGUUGCACCAGUCACCCCAGCGUGCUCAAGGAAGUCAGAAAUCGGUGCUUGCUCCCCAAUUCCUAGAGAGAUUCAUGAGUACCCUGAGCCUGUAGAGGAGGCUCCCUACCUUUUCUCUCACUGGUGUGGGGGUGGACAUAACCCAUCUUUGGCCACAAGGACCUGAGCUAGGUUUUUUCUGGCAGCUUGCAGAGGCUUCCUUGGAUGCUAAGAACAUUGUUGUCUCAUGGAUGCUUGUGAUGGAUUUGUCCAGCCUCAGUCACUCAGACCCUGGAACUGACUACCCUGCAUUGCUCUGGUUUGCUGUGUGACUUUUGGAACAGCUACUUUUAAUGUUAUGAGUUUAAUCCAUCUUUAAAUUUGGGGGAAUUCUUUUUACUAUGUGGAGAGAAUUGAAAUCAGAAGUGGGCUCUACCAGCAUGAAGAAGUGAGCAGCUUUUGAUGUGCUCCUAGAUCUGUGUGUGUUAGAAUUGUGUGCCUUGAAGUGGAUAGCACUGUGACAGAAAACACUUCUCAGUCCAGUUUUGGCCUAAAUUUCCUUGCUGACCAAGAUCUUCUGGGAAAGACUGAAAGACUUUGUGUAAUCUUAUGGUCUGGAUUCCAGGAUUUUUUUGUGGGCCCUGCCUUCCCUGGCUCUUAUCCCCAGGUGACUUUAUUUGUUACUUUCACUAUAGAUUAAAUUGCUUUUUCUUGAAUUUUAUAUAAAUUUAAUCAUCAAGUAUUGACUCCCUUUUGUACAGUUCUUUUCAUGCAGCAUAAUUAUUGUGAGAUCCAUCCAUGUUGUUUGUAUCAGUAGCUCAUUCUUUUUAUUGCUGAGGAGUGUUCUAUUGUAUGACUGUAACACAAUUUAUGUAUCCAUUCAUCUGUUAAUUGACAUUUGGGUUGUUUGCAGUUUGAGGCUAUGAAAAAUUAAGCUGCUAUAAAAUUCAUAGUGAAGUCUUUCUAUGAA